rnacentral:rRNA from 1 species
UACGUAGGGUGCGAGCGUUGUCCGGAUUUAUUGGGCGUAAAGAGCUCGUAGGCGGCUCGUCGCGUCGACCGUGAAAACCUGCAGCUUAACUGUGGGCUUGCGGUCGAUACGGGCAUCACUGGAGUUCGGCAGGGGAGACUGGAAUUCCUGGUGUAGCGGUGAAAUGCGCAGAUAUCAGGAGGGAACACCCGGUGGCGAAGGCGGGUCUCUGG